rnacentral:rRNA from 1 species
UACGGGGGGAGCAAGCGUGGUUCGGAUUUACUGGGCGUAAAGGGCGCGUAGGCGGCCAGCGCAAGUCAGUUGUGAAAUCUCCGGGCUUAACUCGGAAAGGUCAACUGAUACUGCGCGGCUAGAGUGCAGAAGGGGCAACUGGAAUUCUCGGUGUAGCGGUGAAAUGCGUAGAUAUCGAGAGGAACACCUGCGGCGAAGGCGGGUUGCUGGGCUGACACUGACGCUGAUGCGCGAAAGCCAGGGGAGCGAACGGG